rnacentral:rRNA from 1 species
GUCGAACGUGAAGCCCGGGCUUGCCCGGGUGGAAAGUGGCGAACGGGUGCGUAACACGUGAGCAACCUGCCCCGAAGACCGGGAUAACACCGGGAAACCGGUGCUAAUACCGGAUGCCCUCAUCAUGUCGCAUGGCGAGAUGAGGAAAUGGAUUCCGCUUCGGGAUGGGCUCGCGGCUUAUCAGCUUGUUGGUGAGGUAAUGGCUCACCAAGGCUACGACGAGUAGCUGGUCUGAGAGGAUGUCCAGCCACACUGGGACUGAGACACG